rnacentral:rRNA from 1 species
CUCUUGACAUCCAGAGAAUUUGCUAGAGAUAGCUUAGUGCCUUCGGGAACUCUGAGACAGGUGCUGCAUGGCUGUCGUCAGCUCGUGUUGUGAAAUGUUGGGUUAAGUCCCGCAACGAGCGCAACCCUUAUCCUUUGUUGCCAGCGAGUAAUGUCGGGAACUCAAAGGAGACUGCCGGUGAUAAACCGGAGGAAGGUGGGGAUGACGUCAAGUCAUCAUGGCCCUUACGAGUAGGGCUACACACGUGCUACAAUGGCAUAUACAAAGAGAAGCGAACUCGCGAGAGCAAGCGGACCUCAUAAAGUAUGUCGUAGUCCGGAUUGGAGUCUGCAACUCGACUCCAUGAAGUCGGAAUCGCUAGUAAUCGUAGAUCAGAAUGC